AUACGUAGGAUCCGAGCGUUAUCCGGAUUUAUUGGGUUUAAAGGGUGCGCAGGCGGCCAUUUAAGUCAGCGGUUAAAUCGUGGGGCUCAACCCCAUUCUGCCGUUGAUACUGGGUGGCUUGAUUGCGGUCGAGGUUGGCGGAAUUCGUUGUGUAGCGGUGAAAUGCAUAGAUAUGACGAAGAACACCGAUUGCGUAGGCAGCUGACCAGACCGCAAAUGACGCUCAUGCACGAAAGUGCGGGGAUCGAACAGGAUUAGAUACCCUGGUAGUCCGCACAGUAAACGAUGAAUACUUGUUUUCGGCGAUAUAAUGUCGGAGGCAAAGCGAAAGCGAUAAGUAUCCCACCUGGGGAGUACGCCGGCAACGGUGAAACUCAAAGGAAUUGACGGGG
rnacentral:rRNA from 1 species